ACGUAGGGUGCAAGCGUUAAUCGGAAUUACUGGGCGUAAAGCGUGCGCAGGCGGUUUUGUAAGACUGUCGUGAAAUCCCCGGGCUCAACCUGGGAAUGGCGAUGGUGACUGCAAGGCUAGAGUUUGGCAGAGGGGGGUAGAAUUCCACGUGUAGCAGUGAAAUGCGUAGAUAUGUGGAGGAACACCGAUGGCGAAGGCAGCCCCCUGGGUCAAAACUGACGCUCAUGCACGAAAGCGUGGGGAGCAAACAGG
rnacentral:rRNA from 1 species